ensembl:lncRNA
AUCCUAGAGGAACUGGGCCUGUAGCCAUCACACAGAUGUACCCACUGAUUGGUGCUCAUGUGUGGGGUGUUUUUCUCCUUUUUUCACAGAAGACUCUGAUCUAACACCAACAGAUACAACAGCCUUAGCACUGGAGACAACCUCCAUAGAAGGGACAACAUUCACACAAUCAACAUCUCUGAGAGAGACAUCAGUGUCAGCAUCAACAGUCCUCCCGGAGGAGAAGGCAUUCCUGAGGGAGAUGGCCACAACUGAAUUAACAACCAACACAGGGGAGGUGACAUCCCCACUGCAGACAGCCACCACGGUGCCAUCAACCCCCAGAGAAGAGACACCCUUCCUACUGGAGAUGGCCACCACAGUGCCAAUGACAACCUUAGAGGUUACGACCAACACAAGGCUAAUGACCUCCCCAGGAGAGAUGUCCACUUCACCACAGUUGACAAUGUCAUCCACUGCCCCACCACUGCCUGAUACGAUCACCACAGUGAGAUCAGACACCACAGCAGAGGAGAGCAAAACAGUAAUGAGCUCCUUAGCAGAAACAUCCAGCCCAAUAUAUCCUUCCACCGCCACGUCAUCCAGUGCCACACCAGAGGUGUCCACCUCAGCAGAGAUGUCCACAUCCACAAAGAUGAUAACCUCACCAGUGAUGACCACCUCAGAGGAAACAACUGUGGGAGGAGAGUGGAGCACACUGUCAUCAGAUGUAACCCUGGUAACAGGUAACCCUGUCAUCUCUUGCUCACUGGUCUUCUUAGUGCUCCUUAAUUUUUAACUGAGUAACCCCUGGGGCAUUUCCCACUGGAGAAUUUUGGUGCCAUCCCUUGGAAGCAGCCAUGCUGACCUCUCUUGGUAAAUGUGGAGCAAAACAAGAACCUUAGUGUUUUCUAUUGCCUGCUGAGCUGAGUGUGUGCCAAGCAAAAGCCCUGUUUGCACAUAGGGAGCACAACAGGCUCUCCUGGCCUGCAGGAAACAGGUCUCUGGGAGGUGGCAAAGAGAAGAGGGAUCACAGAGCUGGGAGACUGGGAAGGGACUCAGGUCACUUUGGGCUGGUGUCUCUAUGAGAAAUAACUGGAAAGAGCUUCACCCUCUCUACCAGCAUUGGCAAUCCAGCCUUGCUUGUCAUACCAAAUGCAGUGGCCAUUGUAAGAACUACCUCCCUAGCAGAGAUGUCCAUGACACUGCAAAAGAUCAAGGAAAAAAACCAUCAUGCCAAAGACAGGCACCUCAACAGAGACAACCUCAGCAGAGACAACAAUGUCAGAAGAGAUGGCCACUACAGCAUGGAUUGCAAGGGAGGAAGGGAGCACACUAAAUAACCCUGCCCACAUUCAUUCCCUGAUCAGCGUGUGAAAGACCAAAGUCAGGAUGGUCAUUUCAGAUGUGUGAAAGAGCUCUGAAGGUUGCUGUAGGAAUCAUAGGACAGGGGAUCCUAGAAAAUGGGUACUCUCAUCUGUAUGACAUCUGCUGAAUCCCUUUGGAAGCUUUGUCAUUGACAACAAAAUCUCCCUUGCAUCCACAGCUUCAUCGCGUACCAGUGACAGUCCACAUUCCACAGGUAAUUCCAGCCCCCCAUGCCUAACCUUGCAGCAGCCAUGCAGGCUCCCUGUUGCAGUGGCCCACGUGGGCACAGCAGAGCACAGGGUUGGUGCGAGCUCGUCCUUGUGCCUUGUGCCGUGUGUCAGGAGGCAGCGUGCGGCUGGUGGGCGG